CAAGAAUCCUGUAUAUAAUUAGCUAACUAGAUUGGGAAGUGACCCCCUGCCAACAGUUGUCUGGACUCUGAAUUUAUUGACCUUGUUACUCUUGUUGUUUCCAACAUGGAAGGGGAAUAAACUGGACUGAAGGACCUUUGGUGAUCUCGCUCCUUUGCUCCUUGGACCUGGAAUUAAUCUAAAAGUCCAAGAAAGCAUCUGGUUCUGCAAAGAUACAGAAGCCAACAGUUGCCCGUCACUGCUCCUAAUCGUGUUUGCCAGUUCCAGGUGGUGUGAACUUCUCCUGGGACCAUCUGUCCCUCCCAGCAGCUCCAGAGCCACACUGCCUUGGAAGACCCGACAGACAGAUUGCUCCACCUUGACUCUUCUUUCCACAGUGUCUUCAGCAUCUCUGUUCCUCCCAUUCCCACUCCAUUUCUUCUAUCUCUCCCCAUGCAAGAGUGGAUCAGCUGCCUCCUGGGCCAGUAGGGUCCUUUGCAGGUGGCCAACCAAGAGAAAGAGGAAGUGGCUCUUGGAAUCACAGACCCAGGCUGGGAAGAGUUUGUGUGAUGCAGUGGCCACCCCCUAAGAGCUGCAGUGAUCCUCUCUGAGCCCUUCAGAAAGCGCUAUGACCACAAAAAACAAGCCUAGAGAAGAAACAUAAUGGAAGUCCACGGCCAGACCUAAAGCAGCCUUUCAGUUUCUGUCCAAACAAGACUGCUUUUCCAUUACUGAUGCUGGAUCAAAUGAAUAUCUAUAUUAAAAAAAAAGAAAUCAGUUGCAAGCAAAUCAUGUGUCUCAAUCUAAAAGAAUUAAAAAAGAAAAGUGGAAAGAAAUCACUGGACUAGGACACAUGAAAGAUAUCCUAAUGCUGAGUGGUAGAGAACGAUGUAGAAUGCCCUAGAUGUGAAAGGAAACAAUGCACAAGCACACAAACAAAGCAUAAUUGAUAAUUAAGAGCACAUAAAAUUAGGAAACUGUCUGAUAAUAUUUGAAAUGAAAAGUUAGGCAAGAAGCAAAUGGCUUUGACAAUAUAUGUAACCUCAGCCGGGCGUGGUGGAACAUGACUUUAAUCCCAGCACUUGGGAGGCAGAGGCAG
rnacentral:lncRNA from 1 species